rnacentral:rRNA from 1 species
GACGAACGCUGGCGGCGUGCUUAACACAUGCAAGUCGAACGGAAAGGCCCUGCUUUUGUGGGGUGCUCGAGUGGCGAACGGGUGAGUAACACGUGAGUAACCUGCCCUUGACUUUGGGAUAACUUCAGGAAACUGGGGCUAAUACCGGAUAGGAGCUCCUGCUGCAUGGUGGGGGUUGGAAAGUUUCGGCGGUUGGGGAUGGACUCGCGGCUUAUCAGCUUGUUGGUGGGGUAGUGGCUUACCAAGGCUUUGACGGGUAGCCGGCCUGAGAGGGUGACCGGCCAAAUGGGGACGGAGAUACGGCCCGAACCCCACCGGGAGGAGGAGGGGGGGAUAUUGGCAAAAGGGGCGAAACCCGGAUGAGCCACCCCCGGGGGGGGAAGGCGGGCUUUGGGGUUGAAAACCGCUUUCCCUUGGAACAAGGGUGAGGGGAGGGAAAUGGGAAAAAAAGCCCGGGCAAACAACGU